AACGAACGCUGGCGGCAUGCCUAACACAUGCAAGUCGAACGAGACCUUCGGGUCUAGUUGCGCACGGGUGCGUAACGCGUGGGAACCUGCCCUUAGGUUCGGAAUAACUCCCAGCAAGGGGUGCUAAUACCGGAUAAUGUCUUCGGCCCAAAGAUUUAUCGCCUUUGGAUGGGCCCGCGUUGGAUUAGCUAGUUGGUAGGGUAAAAGCCUACCAAGGCGACGAUCCAUAGCUGGUCUGAGAGGAUGAUCAGCCACACUGGGACUGAGACACGGCCCAGACUCCGACGGGAGGCAGCAGUGGGGAAUAUUGGACAAUGGGCGAAAGCCUGAUCCAGCAAUGCCGCGUGAGUGAUGAAGUCCUUAGGGUUGUAAAGCUCUUUUACCCGGGAUGAUAAUGACAGUACCGGGAGAAUAAGCGCCGGCUAACUCCGUG
rnacentral:rRNA from 1 species